rnacentral:sRNA from 1 species
UUUACUGAUGCUUCCUGGUCCGGUGGCCUCGGUCCCGGUAAGCCAGGCAUGAAGAUCACAAGGCAGAAACAUGCCAAGAAGCAUCUUGGCUUCUUCCGCAACAACUUCGGAGUCCGCGAGCCGUACCAGAUCCUGCUGGACGGCACCUUCUGUCAGGCGGCGCUGCGGGGCCGCAUCCAGCUGCGGGAGCAGCUGCCCCGCUACCUCAUGGGGGAGACGCAGCUGUGCACCACAAGAUGUGUGUUAAAAGAGCUAGAAACAUUGGGAAAGGACUUAUAUGGAGCAAAACUGAUUGCACAAAAAUGCCAAGUUCGAAAUUGUCCUCAUUUCAAGAAUGCAGUGAGCGGAUCAGAAUGUCUGCUUUCCAUGGUUGAAGAGGGAAAUCCUCAUCAUUAUUUUGUGGCAACACAGGUGAUACUACUUUUAAAACCACAGGCAAUUUUCACCAUUUCUAUUUAUACUUCAUAUGGAGCUAUUUAUAAUCAGAAAAAAGUUAGAAUGAUUAGACUUUUAAAAAUACAGGCUUCUAAGUUAAUUUGCAGUCAGUAAAAGCAAUUGUCAUUUGAGAGUUUGAGGAAAACUUUAAGCAUGUUGAUAUUCUUUUUAGUAGUGGAAGGUUGGGUUUUGUUUUUUUUAAUGAUUCCUUUGUUUUGCUUUUUUUGUUUGUUUCUUGAGACUUGAGGGUCUCACUAUGUUGCCUAGGCUGGUCUCGAACCCCUAGGCUAAAGUGAUCCUUCUACCUCAGCUCCUGAGUACCUGGGAUUAGAGGUGUUUGCCAUCAUGCUGGACACUGGCAGAAGUUUCUUUUUUUUAAAACAAGAAAUUGUUGACAUGAGAUGUGAUGAUUUGUUGUAGGGUUCUUGAAGGGAAGAUAAGUAGAGCAAAGUUCCUGUAU